UACGUAGGUGGCAAGUGUUGUCCGGAAUUAUUGGGCGUAAAGCGCGCGCAGGCGGUCCUUUAAGUCUGAUGUGAAAGCCCACGGCUCAACCGUGGAGGGUCAUUGGAAACUGGGGGACUUGAGUACAGAAGAGGAAAGCGGAAUUCCAGGUGGAGCGGUGAAAUGCGUAGAGAUCUGGAAGAACACCAAAGGCGAAGGCAGCAUCCUGGGAAGUAACUGACGCUCAUGUGCGAAAGCUAGGGGAGCGAACGGG
rnacentral:rRNA from 1 species